GUUUAUUUGUUACAUAUUGCUUGAAUUUUGCUGAAUUGCAUUUUAUUCCUGUUUGUGUUUCAGUAUUACUGAUUCAAGUCAAAAGGAGAAUCUUGGCAUCAUUGUCCAAUACAAGGUUAAAGUAAAGCUGAACCUUGGUCCAUUAGUUGGUGAUCUGGUUGCAGAGUUGCCUUUUACACUGAUGCACCCCAAGCCAGAGGAGGAGCCUGAGGUAAAUAACAAGCCUGCACUCCCUCCUGCUUCCUCUCCGACACAGGAUCCCAAUUCAGCUCCGGCAGUGGACACCAAUCUCAUUGAACUUGACACGGAUGGCACAACUUGUUAUGCUGAUCAAGAUGACGACAUCAUUUUUGAAGAUUUUGCUCGGCUGCGAUUGAAGGGAGAAACAGAGGCGUAGGAACCCUAAUGUCCUCCUGACAGACAAGCAUCCUCUACAGCCAAAGCAGUAUUCACUUGGAAACCUAGAGGGGCUCCCACCAGACUAAUCAUGAAUGCAUAAGGUCAUAGAUACAUGUCAUUUGGGUUUAUUUGUUUCAAGAUUCUGUUACAUGGUUGUAGAAAAAGAAGAUUCAUACUUUUUUUUUUUUUCUUUUUUUCUUUUUAUUACGCAAGCUUACAAAUGCAGACACAUCAGCAAAAUAAGCGCACAAUUAUAGAAAUCUUAAAGAACAUAGUUAUUUGUAUUCACAAUUUGUCUCUUUUCUCCCUCGUUCAUUCACUGUCUCUCUCUUCUCUGUCUUGCCUCCUCUCUUUGAUUUUCCUACUUAUUCCCUCUCUCUUUCUCUCUUCAUAUGUUUUAUACAUACAUGUGUUAUAAGAAAUUGUGAAUGUAUUUGCAAUAUAUUUAUAUUUGAGCUUCAUGUUUAUGCUUUUGCUCAGUACCAUUUUUGCACUUUUUUUUUAAUUACAGAUUAUCUUAUUAUACCUGAAGCAGUUAAUAUUUUGUUUUGUUAUCUUUAAUAUUCUUAGUAUUGGUAUUAUUAUUGAAAUUAGUUG